GCUACGGGGUGCAGCAGUGAGGAAUAUUGGUCAAUGGACGAGAGUCUGAACCAGCCAAGUAGCGUGAAGGAUGACUGCCCUAUGGGUUGUACACUUCUUUUAUAUGGGAAUAAAACGUUCCACGUGUGGGAUUUUGUAUGUACCAUAUGAAUAAGGAUCGGCGAACUCCGCGCCAGCAGCCGCGGUAAUACGGAGGAUCUGAGCGUUAUCCGGAUUUAUUGGGUUUAAAGGGAGCGUAGGUGGGUUGUUAAGUCAGUUGUGAAAGUUUACGGCUCAACCGUAAAAUUGCAGUUGAAACUGGCAGUCUUGAGUACAGUAGAGGUGGGCGGAAUUCGUGGUGUAGCGGUGAAAUGCUUAGAGAUCACGAAGAACUCCGAUUGCGAAGGCAGUUCACUGGACUGCAACUGACACUGAGGCGCGAAAGUGUGGGUAUCAAACAGGAUUAGAUACCCCAGUAGUC
rnacentral:rRNA from 1 species